rnacentral:rRNA from 1 species
UACGAGGGGGCAAAUGUUGUUCGGAAUCACUGGGCGUAAAGGGAGCGUAGGCGGGUUCUUUAAGUAAGGUGUUUAAUCCCGGGGCCCAACCCCGGACCGGCACUUUAAACUGGGAAUCUUGAAUAGUGGAGAGGUCGGUGGAAUUGGGGUGUAGCGGUGGAAUGCGUAGAGAUCCCCAAGAACACCAGUUGCGAAGGCGGCCGACUGGACACAUAUUGACGCUGAGGCUCGAAAGCAUGGGGAGCAAACAGGG